UCCUCCUGGGAACGGAAUGAUAAUCUGGAAUCUCCGGGAGGAAUGUUUUAAUAAAAAAAUUAAUCCUAAAUUUAAUUUGAGGGUGAAAAGUAAUUAAAAAAAAAAAAAAAGCGUUGGGGGUCGAAACGGCAGCGUUGUGCUGAGUAAUUAAUUAAUUUGAUGAAGUUAAUUUAAUUUAGCUCGGGUUUUGUGCAGGUAGGAAAAGUCUUUUGGGAAAAUCGCAGUGGGUUGAUAGGGGAUAAAAUUCCAUAGGGAAAAUUCCAGGGAUAAAAUUCAACAGGUAAAUCUCAACGGAUGGAAUUCGGCAGAUAAAAUUCAAUGGAUGAAAUUCAGUGGAUAAAAUUCCAUGGAUAAAGGUCAAGGGAUAAAAUUCAAUGGAUAAAAUUCCAUGGA